AUCUACGGUCAUGCCACCCUGAACAAGCCUGAUCCCGUCUGAUCUCAGAAGCUGAGCAGGGUCAGGCCUGGUUAGUACUUGGAUGGGAGAUCACCUAGGAAGACCAGGUGCUGUAGGCG
rnacentral:rRNA from 1 species